UUUCACCAGACAGAACUGGUUUGUUUCGUUCCACUUGGUUUCAGUGUGACAGUCAGGUUGUUUUUAUAGAAAUCUUGUUUGCCAUUGACCUUUGUGAGGGCAGUAACAAGGAUCUAUGUGAAGGAGUAUGAGUAGCAGCUGCCACCUGCAUGGGUGAAAAAGAAGUGGAGAACGAUAAGCAAAAAUAAAGGAAGGGUCUAGAUGUGGAGGCAGGAGAAAGAUGUGACUGCCAGAGGGGCACACCUUACGGACAAUUUAAAUGCCAAGAUUAUGAAGUAGUUGUAUGUAUUUUAUUCAUAGCUAUAAAAUGUAUUCAUUUUCUACUAUUUUUGUUGGAGUAAUUUUUUAAACCCAAAGUGGAUUUUUGUUUUCUCAUUAAAACGAGUGGUGCAGCGGUCUAAUGCACUGCAUCGCAAUGAUUGAGACAUCACUACAAACCUGGAUUUAACUCCAGGCCGUGACCAGGAGAGACUGACCCAUGAGACUGUAACUACCAAUUGGAUAUCAUGAAAUUGGGGAGAAAAGGGGGGGGUUUAUUGUUUGCAAUAAACAUUUUUAUUUAA